rnacentral:rRNA from 1 species
AGCAGCCGCGGUAAUUCCAGCUCCAAUAGCGUAUAUUAAAGUUGUUGUGGUUAAAAAGCUCGUAGUUGAACCUUGGGCCUGGCUGGCCGGUCCGCCUCACCGCGUGUACUGGUCCGGCCGGGCCUUUCCCUCUGUGGAACCCCAUGCCCUUCACUGGGUGUGGCGGGGAAACAGGACUUUUACUGUGAAAAAAUUAGAGUGCUCCAGGCAGGCCUAUGCUCGAAUACAUUAGCAUGGAAUAAUAGAAUAGGACGUGUGGUUCUAUUUUGUUGGUUUCUAGGACCGCCGUAAUGAUUAAUAGGGACAGUCGGGGGCAUCAGUAUUCAAUUGUCAGAGGUGAAAUUCUUGGAUUUAUUGAAGACUAACUACUGCGAAAGCAUUUGCCAAGGAUGUUUUCAUUAAUCAGGAACGAAAGUUAGGGGAUCGAAGACGAUCAGAUACCGUCGUAGUCUUAACCAUAAACUAUGCCGACUAGGGAUCGGACGAUGUUAUAUUUUGACCCG